CACCGCCCAAAACUCCACACGAUAUCCACUUGCACAUCUGCAGUGCUCAAUGCAGGGCAUCCUCAUUUGAAGGCGCUUCCUGACCUGCUGAGUGAUUCCAGUGCUUCUGUUUUCACUUUGGAGCAAAGGCCAAUGGCGAUAUGAGCAGAAGACUUGAUCUGCAUUCUGCAUUGCUCAAGGUGCCGG